rnacentral:rRNA from 1 species
GACAGAGGGUGCAAACGUUGUUCGGAAUUACUGGGCGUAAAGCGCGUGUAGGCGGCCCUGCAAGUCGGAUGUGAAAUCCCACGGCUCAACCGUGGAAGUGCAUUCGAAACUGCAGGGCUAGAGUCCUGGAGAGGAAGGUGGAAUGCUUGGUGUAGAGGUGAAAUUCGUAGAUAUCAAGAGGAACACCUGCGGCGAAGGCGGGUUGCUGGGCCGACACUGACGCUGAGGCGCGAAAGCUAGGGGAGCGAACGGG